CUGCCUCAGCCUCCCGGGUAGCUGGGACUACAGGCGCCCGCGACCACGCCCGGCUAAUUUUUUUUUGUAUUUUUUUUUAGUAGAGACCGGGUUUCGCCGUGUUAGCCAGGAUGGUCUCGAUCUCCUGACCUCGUGAUCCACCCGCCUUGGCCUCCCAAAGUGCUGGGAUUACAGGCGUGAGUAACCGCACCCGGCAGUAGUACCUACUUUUUAAAGUGUAAGCAAGGAAAGUUGGCCCGCACCUGUAGUCCCAUCUACCUGGGAGGCUGAGGUGGAAGAAUUGCUUGAGCCCAGUUGGUCGAGGCUGCAAUGAGCCUUGAUCACGCCACUGCACUCCAGCCUGGGCAACAGAACAAGACCCUGUCUCAAACAAAAAAGUGUAUGUAAGAAUAAAAAUUAAUAGAUUAGGCACAGGAUGGGUGUUUAAUUCUCGGCAAUCACCACUAAGUUUUCAUACUGAGGCUUAUUCAUUCCAUGGGCAAAACAUUGCGCUAUGUGUGGUGCCUGGGGUGGGCUCCAAAUUCCAGUCCUCUCCUCGCUUGCGAUAGCUGUGUGAUCCAUUCCUAAGUUUCCUUAUUUGUCCACAGAGCGUACACAGGGUUUUUAUGAAAACUAGAUCAGAUAAUCAGACACAGUUAAAAUAGCACGCGCUCAGUAAAAUUACAUAUUAGUGGAAGAGACAAGCCUUGAAUAAAUCGCCUUUCGGGGAGUAUGACCCCCUCCCCGAAACCCACUCAGGCGCUGCUCGCUCGCACGCCCACUGAGCUCGGAGCGGAGCCCGAGCCCUUUCCCAGCACACAGGGUUCAUUUCCAGACUGAAAGACAUCCCAGAGACAACUCCAGAGGCCAAGGCGGGUCGGCUUCCUGCGUGGGCCCAGCGCCGGGCACUGAAAGGCGGAUAAAACGGUCCCAUCAAGACUGAGAAAAAGCACACCAGCUAUUGGCACAGCGUGGGCAGUGGGGCCUACAGGAUGACUGACUUAGUCUACAGAGAUCCCGGCGUACUUAAGCAGAUGAAGACUCUUAAGAUGACAGAAGGUGAUUUUUCUGGUGAUCGAGGACUUCCGGGGUAAUGACAGUGAUGAAAUGCAGGGGACCUGGUUGCCCCCAAGUUUCCUGGCAGUGUGUGAUACUGAGGAGGUGAGCUUGUUUCUGGAGCUGUGCUUUAAGAUUCAUGUUACAUGUAAAGCUGUCCUCAUUUGUGACUAUGGACCUAUGGAGUUGGGACAAUCUCUAUGGGAAGCAGAAGGCAAGGACCCCGGUCAUUUUAGGUAGAAACAACAGCAUGCUAAUGCAAAAAAUUAUGCAGUGUGCUACUGAACUUCAGAGGUGAUCAAUAAAAGAAGAAUAAAAAGACUAAUAAAAGUAAAAAAAAAAAAAAAA
rnacentral:lncRNA from 1 species